rnacentral:lncRNA from 1 species
UUCAAACUCAUCACCACUCCAAAUUACUAAAAUAAAACAAACAGCUCAAGGAUCCCGUGAUAAUGGCAGUGGGUCACCCUUGCGCCAAAAGAUGAGGUGGUUGAGGGUGGGCAGUCCAUUUUAAGUCACUGCCGUUAAUAUACCCCACAGGUUUUGAAAUGAUUCUUCUUAAGAGCAUAGAAGGAGUUUAUUUUUCAUGCCUGUUCUUGAAAUAUGCUACAGAUGCUAUGGAAAACAAGGACAAGAAGUGGGAGGCAAGAGUUCUUAGAUGAGAUUUAUGAUAUUACUUGCCAAAGAGUUUUGGUCUUUGCUUUCUUAUAUUUCAAAAUUGUGUCCCACAGGUCUUAAUAACAACAGCUUGGAGUUAAUUGAGUGGCUGAUGAGAAAAACAUACGGUCCUCCCUGGCACCAGGGCCUCUGCUUGGCUCCCGUCCAACAUUCACUCCCAAAGGCCAAGGAGCUGUGGGACCAGAACCCCCCAUAUUUCUCUGGAAUUCCAAAUUGAAGGAAGAAAGAAAUUGAACUGAAUUUAAAAGAGGUCUCAGCCGUGGAAACGAAGACUUCACAUGUCCCCUCAACCUUCAUGGAGUGAUGAGGAGGCCCUCGUUCUUGCUGUGACCUGCCAUUCCCAGGCAUCCUCCAGUCUACUUGCAGGGACCAAGGUGGAGGGCACACACUUGAGUAAGGUCAGGUGAGCCCAGUGGAGAAGCAUGAACCAGCUCAGUCUUAGACCCAGUUCCCCGAGUCUCCUGCCAGUGGUGAAUUUCAGCUGAUGUUAUUUAGGUUCUGCCGCUCCUGAGACAGCUCUCUCCUGUCUUUCACUUAAUUCUCACAAGUCCG